UACGAAGGGGGCUAGCGUUGCUCGGAAUGACUGGGCGUAAAGAGCGUGUAGGCGGCUCGAUAAGUCUGCUGUGAAAGUCCAGGGCUCAACCCUGGAAGGCCGGUGGAAACUGUCGGGCUAGAGUCCGGAAGAGGCGAGUGGAAUUCCCGGUGUAGCGGUGAAAUGCGCAGAUAUCGGGAGGAACACCAAUGGCGAAGGCAGCUCGCUGGGACGGUACUGACGGCUGAGACGCGAAAGCGUGGGGAGCA
rnacentral:rRNA from 1 species